CGUUCUGUGCCUAUUGGACGGUUUUCGUAUAGCUUCCGCAUAACAAUAAAUCAAUAACAAAACAAUAAGACAAUACCUAUUUUAAUACGAACAGUAAUUACAAUACCAUUAUUACUACGGAGGCCGAUUUAAUCUAUUUUCUAUGGACCGAUGAAUUAUAAGAUAUUUUAACAUAAUCGGCGAAAAAUUCAUAAUGCCGCCAGAUGACCGUACUCUUUGCAGUCUCUCGGACCCAACUUCAACCGGUCGCCGAUUCUCAGGUUAGGUACUUAUUAUCUGAACUAUCUAGUACCGUUCCAUACAGAUUUCAACUGACCCCUGGUCAUUGGUCGCAGACACUUUCGGUGUCCAGCCUCGUUCACGUUCGCCGAGUGAUCCUAUGCUGUUGAUCGUCGAACUCUAUAUACAAAUAACGAUUGUAGAGAAAUAUUAAAAUUAAUAUUCUUAUGUACAUUUUUAAUCGCGGUGCACAGAUAACACUGUGCGAAAGAGAUUCGGUGGAAAAUGGAAGUGAUUGACGGUAGUGAAGAUGGAAUGAUCGUAUUGAUGACGAGUUGAAAUUUUGAAAAGUUCGGUGAUCGUCCCGCGAACAUGCGUCUGACUAAGCGGUCGGUCACGCUGCUGUACCUAUCGUCAUGCAAGAUAUUCGCCGACCUUUUGUUUCUCUAUGGGUUCUUUUCUUUUGGCUACAACGACAGUCUAACGUCGACGCCAAACGAUUUGCCGUCGACAUUGCGACCGAACCCUAACCACUCGGAACCUUGGCGUUUCGAUACUCGUCGUUUAUAUCAAAAGUCUGUGAAUAGAGUCGUAUUGAUGGUAAUAGAUGGUAUUCGAUAUGAUUUCUUUAUGGAACCAGAAUAUAAUGUAUUUAUGCCAUUUUCUAUUGAUCUCAUAAAGCAAAACCAAAGUUGUUUGUUUCGUACUAGAGUGAAUGCUCCUACAGUUACAAUGCCACGUAUAAAAGCCCUAACUACAGGUACAGUACCAAAUUUUAUCGAUCUUGUGUUAAAUUUGGAUAGUUCAGCAGUUCAACAAGACAGUAUUAUUUACCAAGCUUGUGCUGCUAAUAAGCAUGUAAUAUUCUAUGGGGAUGAUACAUGGUUAAAGUUAUUUCCAAAUUCAUUUAUCAGAUAUGAUGGAAUUACAUCAUUUUACAUAUCAGAUUACACUGAAGUUGAUAAUAAUGUUACUCGUCAUCUAGAAAAUGAAUUAAAAUCAUCAGCCGAUUGGGAUAUUAUGAUACUUCAUUACUUAGGACUGGAUCAUAUAGGCCAUAUGGGUGGACCUCGAAGUAAAUUGAUGCCCAACAAGUUGUCUGAGAUGGAUAAUAUUAUUCAACGUAUAGUAAAUUAUAUGAAUUCUGAAGAAUCAGAACUGCCCUCAAUUUUAAUAGUUUGUGGCGAUCAUGGAAUGCGUGACAAUGGUGGUCAUGGUGGAUCGUCAAUUGGCGAAGUAGUAGUUCCUCUAUUUGUUUAUUUUAAAAAUAAAAUUUGUGGUGGAUCUAUAGAAGGUGAAAUAAUGCAAACAGACUUUGUGCCAACCAUUUCAGUAAUUAUGGGGCUACCCAUACCUUCAGGAAACACAGGAAAGCUAAUACAUAAAAUCUUGCAAAAUCUUAAUAUCAAUGAAAUUCUCUUUGCUUAUCAUUAUAAUACACAACAAAUAUAUAAAAAUUAUAAUUCAAGAAAAGGAUUAAUGAAUAAAGGUUUCAUGAAGGAUUUCAAUCAUGCGAUUUUUAGUUAUUAUGAUUGGUUAAAGAAAGAAAACGCUUCCAUUGAUCAAGCGCUCCAUAUUAUUUCUUUGUAUGAAUCUGCAUUAAAUGGUAUGAGCAACUACUUAGUUAAAUCAAUAGCCAAGUUUGAUGUGUUUCUCAUAAUUGUUUCAAUUAUUUUAUCCAUACAGGUAUGGUUAUUGCUGAUGAAUUUUGAUGCAGUAAAUAUUAAAUUUAUUAAAGUUAACCGUUUAGUAUAUUUAAUGCUAAUUCGUUGGGCUGUUUGUGUAUGGUUGCAAUGUGAUAGUGUCCUAUGUGAAUUCACUGCUACAUUUAAUCUAUUGGCCAUUGUUAUAAUCACAAUGUUCAUUAUAAACCUUGGUAGUUUUUGUUGGCCAUUAACUACAAUUUUUAGUUCAUUGAUAAAUGACAUGGAUAAAAAUGUAUUUUACACCUUAUGUGGUUCAUUAGUACACAUUUUAAGUCUAUUUUCAUCUAGUUAUAUUGAAGAAGAACAUCAGUUACUGUAUCAUCUUUGGACAGGAUUUUCUGCUAUUCAAGUAUAUAUGGCAUUUGUUGAGCAUAACUAUGUAACAACUGCAAAGUGGAUAGUUUCUAUGGUUUUGCAUCGUUUUUGUAAAGAUCUCAAUUAUAUUGGAAACCAAUGGUCGGGAUUUUACAGUUUAGGAGAUUGGUUUCGUGAAUCUCAUAAUCAAAGCUAUAUGUCAGCCUUAAUGGUAAUAGGUAUUUUAAGUACAUUUUUUACUUGUAUCAAUAUUUACAAGGCUGGAAAAUACAAUAAGCGAUUUAAUACAUUGAACUAUAUUAUAUAUUUUUUGUAUUUUUGGACAUUGUGCUGUGUUUAUAUGUACAGGGUUGAAACUAAAGAAGUUUCUGUACCAUAUGGUUAUAAUAUAUUAAAGCUAAUAUUCUGUCUAAAUACAUGGACCAUCACAUGGUACUUACUAGUUGGAUUUCAUAUUGUUUCUGUUAUUAAACAUAAUAACAACAAGUGGAAUAAUGCUUCUUGGUUUUUACAUGCAAACUCAUUAGACUGAAAAACUGGAAUACUUUAACUAUGACUAUUAUUCACUAUUGGUUAUCAUUGAUAUUCUUUUUUUAUCAGGGUAAUUCUAACAGUAUUGGCACUUUAGACAUAGUGCCUGGCUACAUUGGUCAAACUAGUUAUGAUCCUGUUAUAGCAGGAAUUCAU
rnacentral:misc_RNA from 1 species